GGUAGACUACACUCAGUGGUAUAGUGUGUGCUUAGCACGCAUGAGGUCCUGGGUUCAAUCCCCAGUACCU
rnacentral:tRNA from 1 species